rnacentral:lncRNA from 1 species
AUGUAUGUAAUAUAUACAGCCAUACUAAAUUCAAGAGGCAGUCUAAAGACAGGAUUUUAAUGCAAACAUAAAAUAUCCAGAAAACAAGUUAUUAAAACUUGAAAUCAUGAAACAUUUUUGGCUCAAAGACUUUUUUUUAUUUUUGGCCAUGCUCAUGGCAUGUGGAAGUUCCUGGGCCAGGGAUCAAACCUGUGCCACAGCAGUGACCCAAGACACUAGAGUGACAAUGCUGGAUCCUUAACACAUUGCACCACAGUGGGAACUCCUCUCAAAUACCUUACACUUUUGAUUUUAAAAAACUGUUAUAUUAUCCGGUUAAUAGUUGCUUAACAAAUGACGGUUGAAUAAAUAACUAUAUUAAUUAAAGAACAUGGAUCUUUUUUUUUUUAAGAACAUGGAUCUUAAUGUCUCAAAAAAUGGAAUGAUUGAUUGAACAUGGGUGUGUAUAUAUGUCUUGUUACCAACCCUCAGAAGAAUAACCAGGGACUACUUACAUGCAUUCCAUAUAUAAAUUUCAUUAGUGAGAAUAAUGCUAUCAUAGAAUAAUAAUCUCAGUUGUGACUAAAAAAGUGUAGCAAGUCUGGUGGACUCUUGCUCUAAGUGGCUGUGCUGAAUUCAGCCCUGUACCCUAGCCUAAGGGGUUUAAUUACCAUUAUUUUUCUUUUGGUCACACCCAUGGCAUGUGGAAGUUCCCAGGCCAGGGAUCAAACUCAUGCUACAGCAGCUGCAGUGACUAUGCCACAUCCUUAAUCUGCUAUGCUACAGGGGAACUCCUUAGAGGUUUAAUUAUUAAAGAAACAAAAUUUUCCUAAUUAAUACUGGCUAUGAUUUUAAAAAAGAAACUCCAUAAGAAUCAUGGAAAAAGUAUAAUAUACAAUAAUAUCAAAUAAAUCCAAAAUUAAUUAGCCAUAUGUUAGUAAUAUGAAAGCUUUAUUCCAAAAUGAAAUUUCUUAUAUGAUCAUUUGGCCCUAAUAAUUUUCAAAUUAGCAAACAUUUAUUCAGUGCUGCUAGGUAGAAAGUAGCAUAAAAAAUGCCCAUAAAGUAUUACAAAAUUGAGUAGUAGUUUAUAAUCCAACCAAAAGAUAAACAUGAAAUCAAGAUAAAAAGAAAUAGAUGGAGAGUAAGAAUAAGUUACAGCUAUUUUAAGCAACAAUUUACAAUUGCACACAAUUCAGCAAUGAAUAAUCAUGUGCUUAUGUAUUUCUGUAUUGUUGGAUAUGUAUUUCCAUUCAAGGAAAAUUCCAACAAGUGGGAAUGCUCACUCAAAUGGUAAAUACACAUGGAGUUUUCUUGGAUGUCGCCAAAACCAGUUUAUAUUUUCACCAGCAGUGUAUGAGACAGUGUUUUUAUGUACUAGUGUCUCCAAUAGAAUGACUUAUUACACAUGUAAAUUUUCUCCAAUGGCAUAGAUGAGAAGUGGUAUCUCAGCGUAGUUUUAAUUUGCAUUUCUCUAGUUAUGAGAGAGCUUGAACAACUUUUCAUAUGUUCAAAAGCUACUUUCCUGUUGUUUUGUGCAUUGUCUGUCCAUGACUUUUGCCUAAUUUUCUAGUAACUUUUUGGCAUUUUCCUCUCAUUUUAAUAGUUUUCUAUAUAUUUGGCAUAUUGCCCCUUAUUUAUGAUAAAUUACAAGUAUUUUCUCCCAGCUUCUCAACAGUCUUUUGAUUUUGGGGGUUUGUUUUGCUUUGUGUAUGAGGCAUGGUAAUACCCCUCAAAGAUGUCCAUGACCUAAUUUCCAGAACCUAUAAACAUGGUGCGUUAUGUGGCAAAAGGCACUUUGCAGAUGUGAUUGCAUUAAGGAACUUCAAGGGGGCGAGGUGAACCUGGAUUAUUCACAUGGCCCCAAUAUCAUCACAAGGGUCCCCAAAGCUGAGAAUUAUUCUUGCCUGUGGGAGGAAGGAUAAAUGACUAUGGAGAGAGAUCAGAGAGCUGCAAAAUCGCUGGUUUCGAAGAUUCAGGAAAGUGCCAGGAGCCAAGGAAUGUAUGUAGCAUCUAGGAAGCUAGAAGGGCAAGGAAACAUAUUUUCCUAGACAGCCCCUGCAAAAUGAUGCUGCCCUCCUGACAAUAAAGCCUAUCUUGAUUUUAGACCCAUGAGACUAGUCAGAAUUCUGACCUACAAACUAUAGGGUCAUAACUUUGUGCUGUUUUAAGCCAUGAAGUUUAUGACACAUUGUAAUAGCAACCAUAGAAAACUACUACCCUGUGCUACUUUAAAAAAUUUAGGUAGUCAAAUUUAUUGAUCUUUUAUUGCAUCUGGAGUUUGAAUCAUUUUUAGAUAACUAUUCCUUUCACCUAGGUUAUAAAGACAUUUGUAUGGUUUUUUCCUUGUAUUUGGUCUCAUUUAUUAUAUUUAGAUUCCUGAUGUAUCUGGAGUUUCUGCUUGUGUAUGAAGUAUAAAUGUAACAUCUUUUUGGUCAAGUGGCCAACCAGUUGUCCCAGCAUUGUUUAUUAAGAAAGUUCAUUGUUGGACCCUGUGAUUUGAGAUGACAUCUUUAUGUUAUACAUGUAUGUUCAGUUGUACUUGGGUCUGUUUCUGGACUUUGUAAUCUUGUUCCUGCCCUGUGUACCCAUGCACCAGCACCAUACUCUUAGGGAUGCUGACCUCCAUGCAGUCAAAAAUUCCUAUACAGUUGUUGCUCUGAAUCUGCAGGUCACUCCACAUCUUUGGAUUCAAACAACUGUAAAUCAUUUACUACUGUGGUAGUUACUAAGGGAAAAAUUCUGUGUAUAAGUGGACUUAGUGCUAUUCAAACCUGUAUCUUUUAAAGGUCAACUAGAAUGUUUACUGUAUGAUGGAGUUAUUUUUCCUUUUAUAUCUUUUCUUAGUGUUUUAUUGGCUAUUCUUACAAGUAUUUCAUAUGAACUCGAGUAUUAACUUGUCUACCUCCAAAAUAAACUUAUUCGUAUUUUUAUUGGAAUUUUCUUAAUUUUACACAGUAACUUAGAGAGAAUUAACUUCUUUAUGAUGUUGUCUUUUUGUCAUAGAAAAAUGAAUGAAUACUAUUUCUCCAAGUCUAUUUUUCUGAUUUUCAGGGAAUUUUAAAUUUUUUCCUCUGGUUUUGUAUAUUUCUCAGUAUGAUUUUUCCCAAUUAUUUUAUCUUCUUUGUUAGUAAUAUAAAUGAGGUUUUCUAUACUAAUACAUCCUCUAUCAGCUUAUCAUUAGUGUGUGUGAAGGUGAUUGAUUUCUGUAUGUUGAUUUUUACUAAGUCUGAAUUUUUAAUGUUUGAGUUAAUUUUAUCAUUGAUUCACAUCAUAUUCUAGGCAUAAUACCAUUUCAUCUGCUAAAAUAGUUUUUACUUUUACUUUUCUAAUUCUUAUGCCUCUAUUUGAUUUAUCCUGUAUAAUUGUAUAGACUACAAUAUAAUGUUGACUAGUCUCAGAGCUAGGGGGUAUCCUUGCCUUUUUCCUGAUUUUACUAGUAAUACCUCAAAUAUUUCUCCAUUAAAUGAGUUACUUUUGUGGGGACUGGGGGGCCUGUGUAUGUGUGUUUUAUCAUGUUAAGAAAAUAGACAUCAAUUCCUCCUUUCUUGAGUUCUCAUCAAGGAGGAUGUUAAAUUUUUCAAAAGGAUUUUUAAAUGUCUGUGUUGAGAAUCAUGCUGUUUUUCUCAUUAGGUUAAUUAAUAUGAUGUAUUAUAUUAAUAAACUAAUUAAUAUUGAACCAAAUGCAAGUGGCUUUUGGUCAUAGUGUGUGUGUGUGUGUGUGUGUGUGUGUGUGUGUGUGUGUGUGUAUGUAUGUGUAUAUAUACAUAUAUAUAUGUACACACACACACAUAUAUAUAAAUGCAGUGUAACAUUGUUUUGGUCAUAUUUAUUUACCACUUUUGCUUUGAAAUGUAUGGUGACACUGAUAUAUAUUUUUCUUUUGUUUUUAAAUUGUAUGUAUCAGGUUUAAUUUCUCUCUUAGUUCCUGCUGCUAUAACAAAACAUCAUUAACUGGGUAGCUUAGCAACAACAGUCAUUUAGUUCUCACAGUUUUGGAGGCUGGAAGUUGGAGAUCAGGAUGCCAACAUGGUUGGGUGUGGUGACAGUCCUAUUGUGGGUUGCAGACUUCCAGCUUCUCCACACAUCCUCAUUCUUACUGUAUCUUCAUGAUGGAAAGCAGGGAGAGGAAGCAAGCUCUUUCAAUGACUCAUAAAGCCUUUAAUCCCAUCAAUGAGGGCUCACCCUCAUGACUACUUCUAAUCCUAAUUGCCUCCCCAGUGCCCCACAUCUUAAUACCAUCAUAUUGGGGGGGGGGUCAAGAUAUGAAUUGAUUGUGAAUGUACACAUUCUGCCCAUAAUAACUGUCAAUGUUAUACUUUCCUUGUAAAAAUAAUUAGGAAAUGUCCCUUCACUUUCCAUGGAAAAAUGUGGAACAUUGGAAUGGUCUGAUCUUGGGGAUUUGUUAGAAUUCCCCAGUGAAAUCAUGGACCUGUGUUUUUGUUUGUUUCUUGGUAGGAUAGAAUAUUACUUACUUUCUUUCUUUCUUCUAGAAAAGUUGAUCUAAUUAAGCUUUCUAUCCCUAAUAGAGUUAAUUUUGGUAAAUAUCUUUUCCAAAGAAUUAUUCCAUUUUUACUUAUUUUUAAAUUUAUUUGCAUAGAGAUGAGAUCUCUCAAGAGGCUGCAGACAUGGCUUGGAUCCCGCAUUGCUGUGGCUGUGGUGGAGGCCAGCAGCUGCAGCUUCAAUUCAGCCCCUAGCCUGGGAACUUCCAUAUGCCACAAGUGCGGCCCUAAAAAGCAAAAAAAANAAA